AUGCAAAAUCGAUUGAGCCUAUUCUCACUGAAGAUAUAAGAUUCAUACAUUUUGACUUCCAUAAAAUAUGUGGUCAUAUUCAUUUUGAGCGCCUUUCACAGUUGUAUGAUCAAAUUGAGGAUUAUCUUAAGAAGCAUAAGUACUUCCUUUUGGAUGAUCAAGGCAAGAAAAUGGUGGGGCAGACUGGCACUGUCAGAACAAAUUGUGUCGAUUGCUUAGAUCGUACUAAUGUAACUCAG